rnacentral:lncRNA from 10 species
GGGAGCGUUAGAGAUGGAGACUAACGUCUUCCAAGGGAGAUUGCGUCUCCACUUUCACCCUGGUACUGAGAGGUUGAGCACAAAAUUGGUAACCAAUGCUGCGCUUCCAGCAAAUUUUCCCACCAGCACCCAAUCCUGGGAUAUUUAUUCUCUUUGUCUCACAUCCUACAGGAACGCAGUCGCGGGGUAUAUCCCCCUGAAAACCGUACGUUGCCAAAUAAUGAUUUCUUUGGAUUAGAGAACUACAACUCCCCUGGGUCCUGAGCCGGUAUUUCCCUUUUGCGGCUGCACCGUAGUUAAAAACAAAGCUAAGUGUUCUGGGACGUAUAGUUCUAGCGUUCCUUGGGUCCCGCUGGCGAGCGUGGGCUUUCUGCAGCUCGCAACCGGCCUCGUGCUUUGCGGACGGUUCACUGCGCUUGGAAAGGGAUUGGCCUGGGGUACAUCAUCUAAAGAUCCUAGGAUUGCUGCAGGUCAGCAGUCUCCACUGGAAAAAAAGAUCUUGGAACACAGAUGAAAUGAGAAACAAAAACGAUGGAGAAAACCAAAAAAGGGGACACAUGGGAUCCAGGCAAUAGGAGAGCCAGCAUAAGAGAGAGCCAGAGGGAUGCCCAGGAUGAGGUGAAGACGAUCUUGGAAAUCAGCCCAGAUGUGCAUGCACCAGUCCACGUGUGGCAGGACCAAGGGAAGUGUCUUCACAAAGAUGAGGUUGGUAGAACACGGGGCAUGGUUGAAU